AUGAAAAAGAAGACAACAACAACAACAACAGCAACUGCAUUAAGUUUAUGCAGGCUGGCUGUAUGCACACAGAAAUUGCCAGUUCACAAAGCAGGGAAGAGCAGUAGUUGAAUGGACAAAGUCACACAGUGGAGUAAAUGGUUUGCUGUGAACCUGGAGAAAACUCUUUCAUUCCUCUCCUAGCAUGAGUGGGAGCAACACACCACAAUCCCUGGCUUACCAUUAAGUCCCAAUGUCAGGUUUGUUUCAUUCAGACAAACUGUGAUUGGUAAGCCACGGGAAAACAGUGGCUUUACAUGGUUUGGAGUGAAAUAAAACAUCAGCCCCGGGCUGGACAUAGAGAUAGGCUGGGGAUUGGAAUUAUUGUUCCAACUCACACUAGGGGACGAACCAAGUAAGAACAAUCUGCACAUUCAGAAACCAUUAACUAUGGUUUUCCAUAAUGUGCAAAUGCAACCCAUGCCUGAAUAUGCAAACAUACCAAAAGGGGGUAAUGGUGUGAUCUGUUCUGUACUAUGCAUAGAUAUGCAUAAUGAGAGAUACAUCUGAAUUUGCUCUGUGUGUGUGUGUGUGUGUGUGUGUGUGUGUGUGUGUUUAAAGGAAAGGAAUUGCUUCCAUUUUAUGUGAGGAUAUAUUCAAGACUUCUAUUCACAACUCAUUUAGCAUCAAAUAUUUCAGAGUUGCAAUUUCAUUUACCCUCCAGUUAUAAAGAAAUUAAAUUGCGCAUCUAGCUGGCUGGCUGGCUGGCUAUCUUUUAGCACGCUUUUAAAAAAAAAAGUUACAUUCUGUUUAAAGUGAGCCGAAGUAUUGGCCAGACAGGAUUUUAAUAAUAAGGUCAGCAGACAGGUUAAUACAGUAAAACCAACCUUAAUGAUACUCUCAUCUUUCUGAUUUAAAAUACACAUGUCAUAGAGCAGCAGGGGUCAAGAGCCAGCCUGAGGCAUCUAGACCACACAAAUGCACAGUACCAAUAAAUGAGGAUAUGUGCAGUCACUGGGAAGAAAAUAAUAGCACCUGACUGGUUGGCGAGUAACAAUAUAGUAGUAGUUGUACAAUAAAAACAUAUAGGAGCGAGUUACUGCUUGUCUGAAGAGCCUUUCCUGAAUUAUAUCUUUUCAUCUUUAGUUAUGUGAGCAAAAUUCAACGUUUUGUAGACAUUUCUACUGUGGGUGUGGAGUGGGAAUUCCACUCCUCUAUCCCCAUGUUUUCAGGUCAAAGGUGAUAUUUUUUCUGAUUCAAGCACUGUUUCUUCACAGUGAGUGGCUGUUGCCACCCUCCCAUCGCAAUCCGAAAUGAUACUUAUUAUUUAAAAUAUUAAAAGAUUAUUAUUUAUUGCAUAGUUUAACUGUAGCAUAAUGAUCCUUCCAACCCUACAAUUCUAUGAUUUUUACAAUGGAGGCUGGGUGCUUAAUUAUGUAAACAUUGAUUACAACAAACUGAGUGGCAUCUCAUACACUGGAAACCCAGUGUAUUUAUAAUUAAUGUCUGUUCCAGGUUUGCUUCCCUGACAUCAUAUAUUCUCUGAAACAAUAAAAAAUAUUAUGAAUUAUUGUUCUAAUAAAUACGAUCUCCUGAAGACUACUAAAAACCUGUUGACAUUUCCUAUCUUUGUAACCAACACUAAUUAUUGGAACGAUAAAGUACUUAAUGGCAAGGCUUCCAUAGAACAUGAACAUUGUAGAAUGAAACAGAGUGCAAGCCAGAAGCUGGAAACAAACAAAUGAUGAAGCCCACCAUGCUCGAAGACUGAGCUUGAAAUAGUACCUAGAACAUCAGGGCCGCCCAUUCCCACAUGAGGCAAGGUGAGCUGACUGCCUUGGGCAGCAGGAUCCACAGGGGCAUCACAUCCAGAUUCCAAGGAAUGCAUCACCUGCUGCUGCUGCUGCUGCUGCUGCUGCUGCUGCUGCUGCCAUGGUAGCAGUGACAGUUGUGUCACACUCCUUGGAGACCAGAUCUGCCAUCUCUACAGCAGCAUCUUGGUGAAUAGGAGGCGCUGCUGGUCUCUUCCCACUUCUAGGGGGAAAUGGCAGGGACUUCCUUCCAGGGUCUCCUGGACUGUGCAUCUGCUUGGCAUGUUUUCAGAGUAGGCCCCUCCCCUCCUGCCAUGGCCUUUGAUUCCCACUUCAACCAUCAUAUAAGGUUGAUUUGAUUUGGCUCCUUGCUCCUGAUGUAGACCUUUAUUCCCCACCCCCUUGUUCCUAAUGUACAUCUUCACUCAUCCCUUCUUCCUUGGAAGGCACCAUUUUGUGGUUUGGCUCAAGUGCCGAAACAUGUUGGGCCAGCCCUGAGGAACGUUGUACAGAUACAGAGAUGGUUGCUCCCAUAUGGGGUACAUGAGAGCAGCCAUCUUUUUUCUCUGUCGAAUUCCCCCAGGAUGGGACUGCACAUUAGCACAUACAGGGGUGCAUUUUAGAACAGUUUUUUUGUUUCUGUGCAGACAUUAAAGAGCUGCUUUAAGCUGCAGUCAAAUGAUUUUUAAAUUGGGAAAAGCAGCCUUCAGACCACCUCAUAAGUAUAGCAGGGACCCAUCCAUGUUGAUUGUUGGCUUAAACGAUAGAUCUGAUCACACAUGGAUCUGAGGGAGGUGAAAUGGGUAGGUUUGCUCCAAAACAUGAAGUGAACCAGAUUCCUCACCAUCCCUAACUAUGACUAUUAUAUUUAUUAUUUAUUUGAAUAACUGUGUAUUGUCCAAAAUUGAUCUAAUGAUGGUUCCCUGUGAGUGGUUUUAAGAAGAGAUUAGGGAUAUCAUGUUCUAUUUCAUUGAAAUAGUUCUCCAGUCCUCAGAUUAUAGUUUGCAGCGGCAGGGAGGUUACAAUACUGCGUGAGGAUUUUCACAUAUUCACCUGCAGGAUGGGUUUGGAGGGUCACAUGGUGGAGUAAAUUUGAAAAGGGAGUGGCAAGUUCAAAAGGUUAGUCUUAAGGGUGUCACUAGGAAAAAUAAUUCACAGGGGGUGAAACUCACACCCCCAAUAAAUCACAAUAGAAUUCAAAACUUCCAUGUACAUUCCCAAUGUGUUCGCAGCACUUUCUUGGACCCAUAAGGAGGCUGGCAAUAUGUAUGUGUAGCAGACAGCCUGGAGUUGAAAUAUCUUACUAAAUUAGUUCCCUGAAAUCUGUAUUUAUCCAGAGUCUUUUCCACUCUAUCAGGCACUUCAAAAUCUACAAAAGUAAUAGGAGGCAAGUCUUGGAUCUCUUUAUUAUAUCCCAAUAAGUUUAAGAAAAUCAAAACCUUUAUUUUAAAAAUAAUGUUGCAUUUAAUGGAAACAUCAGCUCUCUAUCUUAUCAUUUCAACAGUGUCAGUAAUGGAUGCUGGUGAAUGCUGAAGGAUUUGAAACGCUCAAAUUUCUGACACUUCUGAUAUUUUGAAACUUGUGUUAUUUCUCUAAAGGUCAGCAAAAGGUUGCAAGAUGUUGGAAUCUUUAAAGUUUUUAAAAAACAAACCACUUUCUCUAAUCAGCUCUGCUGGUUAUAUUAUCUCAUUUUGUCAAUAUACUUAUCUCUGGAUGCACUAUUUAAGAUGGAAAUUCAGUGGUACACUGUAAGAAAAUGAAAUCUUGUAGAUGGUCCUUAAAGGCAGUGGGUUGUAGGGAAGGAAGGGUAUUCACCAGUGUGCUGGAGAUGUCUUGACUGCAUCUUAAGCUUCUUUUGUUAUCUCUGUGGUGAGUACAGGAUUGUACCUGGAGUGUUCACAAAAAUUUAAAUUGGUAUGCUAUUCUGACAGACACAAACCACUCAAACACUGUAAGUUACUUCUAACUGUUGCUCAAAGGAAAUGGAGAAACCAAAGGCCACACUUAAAUUAUUGUAAGAGAUGUUAAGAGCGGUAUGGAUGGAAGACACAUUCUUACUUCCUAGAAUUCUUUGUUCUGAUAAGCCGUUGUGUUAUAUCACCCUUUUCUUAAAUAAUUGUGUCCAGAUUCUCCAUAUCUGCUCAACGAGACAUGUUCUCCAUACAGAGUACUUGCAAAAGGAAAAUUAGGCUACUUACCUUGUAUUUGUAGAACAUGCCCAAAGAAUCACAUCUGCUAUUAAUCAAAAGGUACUUUGGUCCUCUAGAGAAAUGCAAAUGUCUAGUCUUAAAUUGCCUCUUUACUGUAGGUAGCAAUUCUGUACCCACUUACAUAGGACAAAGUCCCAUUGCACACAGGGGAGCUUACCUCUGAGUAGACAUGUAUAGGAUUGUACAUGUUUGUGACAAACUUGCCCUAUCACAGUGUUUUUAAUGAUUUAUCCUGACCACAAUAAUCCAUUAUUUCAUACUUCUGAGAACACAAGCAUCCUUCUAUUAACCAGAUAGAAUCUCUUAAUGAGCUUAAUAUAACUUUAUCAGAAGCAACUCAAAACAUUAAAAUAUAUAAAUUAGAGAUAUCACUGAAGUCUUGCAGUUCAACUCCAAACCUGAGUUCUGUCUCUGGUCAUUUCCAGACUGUUGUGUUUUUUUUUAAGGAGGGAUUCAAGUGCAUUCUAGAAAUGUAGGUUUAUGCAAUUAAAGUGGAUUGAAAUGUUCUGUUGCCAUAGUAUGAGCAACCCAAUUUUUUUCUAGUUGGGAAAGUGAUGGGGAAAGUGCACUGAAAAGUGUAGAAUAAAUGAAUGGUUAAUAGGAAGAGGCAUAAGCACUGCCCAAGCAAAUCAGUGCACUUGCUCAUGUUGUAUUAUCACUCUGCAAAAAGUCGGAACAAAUGCAUAAUAAAUACCAGACAUAGUCUGACCUCUGUAUAAGCUUUGUGCAAGCAGAUCAGGAUGAAUGCUCAAGAAAGAGGCUAUACGAUGCUUGUAACAGUUCUUUUGUAUUAUAUAUUGCAAAAUGAAAUAAAAUCAUUUUUUAAAGGAAAAGGAAACAGGCCAUCUGGAGAAGCCCUCACUCACAUUUUACAACGAUAAGAAGCUGGGAAGGGCAGCUGUUUAUCUUACAAGCUCAACAGCUUCAAAUGUAGGAAGUAUUGUACCCAGUAGGUAGCUAUGGUAUUAUAUAAACUUAAUUACUAAAUUUUUAUGAACAAAUUAUAUAGGCACAUAAAAUUGACAAGUGGCUAAUUUCGGAAGCCCAUCUUGAAGAAAACAGUUGCGUAACGUUUUAUCAACAAGCAGCCUAACUGCACCAGCCUAGUGUUUAAAGAUCUUUUCAGUACACAUGGGAAUGUCAAUUAACGCUUUUAAAAUUUGGAUUGGAUGUACAAGGGUAAAUCACCUGCAGGCAAUUUUACAUGACUAACAGCUGCAGAGAGCACCAUAGUUCUUCAUGGCACGGAAAGCCUCAUAUCUUCAUAAGGCUUAACAGUCCUCUGGAGUAUUAAUUAAGGCAUUGUCCCAAAGCAGGCAAACAGUGCAGAACAUCUUUUGGAAAAAGAAUUCAUCGCUUUUGCAAAAUUGGCUAGAUGGUCACAACUCAUCUACCAAAAUGUAAAAGACUGAAAGAGUCUGUGCCUUGGAAAGUCAAACUUUGCUCAGGAAACAUCAAAGAUGUACACUGCACUUGUUCUCUGACACAUUUUAACUAAAAGUACUCUGAAGGUUGAAAAGGAUGACACAUGGUUUCUAAAAUGAUGUCUGGCAAAAGUGUUCUGGGAAGUAACUUGGCUGUGUCACUCACAUCUAACAGCAAUUCCCAUUAAUCUACAGGCACUGGGUCACAUAUCUAUUUGUUAUAUAAUCCCCUAUAAUUUCCCACAGAACACAAUUCUUGAACCGAGGUGGUAAAGAAUGGUCCCAAUUGUAAACAAUAUUGUCAAGUUGCCACUUUCAGGAUGAAACAGGUAAUAUAUAGUUGUUAAUCUAGAGUAUUAUUGUGAAAACGUGUUUUCUGAAACCAGGAUAAUCCUGACUUGUUCUGACUCAUUCAGUUUUCGCAAAUAUUAGCUACAUGGCAUCUCAAGACUGCUUGAGUGAGCAAAUAUCCUGGGAAUUAUUGUGUAUAGAGUAUUCAUAGAUUUAUUUCACGCUGCAUUCCCCACCUCACCCCCACCCCUAGGUAUGAGGAGACAGCAUGCUUCAAAGUUACAACGAUGAGGGAAAUCCACCUUUGUAUCUUGACUGUCUCACAAUGUACUUUUAGGUUGUAUACCACAUUGCAAUAUUUUAUAUGAAAGUGUACUGGU